UCGAUUUGGAGUUUGUUGCCUAGAGUGAUGGGCUCCGAAGCUAACGCGAUAAAUCGACCGCCUGGGGAGUACGGCCGCAAGGUUAAAACUCAAAUGAAUUGACGGGGGCCCGCGCAAGCGGUGGAGCAUGUGGUUUAACUCGAUGCAACGCGAAGAACCUUACCUGGUCUUGACAUCCACAGAAUCUUUCAGAGAUGAGGGAGUGCCUUCGGGAACUGUGAGACAGGUGCUGCAUGGCUGUCGUCAGCUCGUGUUGUGAAAUGUUGGGUUAAGUCCCGCAACGAGCGCAACCCUUAUCCUUUGUUGCCAGCGAUUAGGUCGGGAACUCAAAGGAGACUGCCGUUGAUAAAACGGAGGAAGGUGGGGACGACGUCAAGUCAUCAUGGCCCUUACGACCAGGGCUACACACGUGCUACAAUGGCGUAUACAAAGGGAAGCGAAGGUGCGAGCUGGAGCGGACCUCCUAAAGUACGUCUAAGUCCGGAUUGGAGUCUGCAACUCGACUCCAUGAAGUCGGAAUCGCUAGUAAUCGUGAAUCAGAAUGUCACGGUGAAUACGUUCCCGGGCCU
rnacentral:rRNA from 1 species